rnacentral:rRNA from 1 species
AGAGUUUGAUCCUGGCUCAGGAUGAACGCUGGCGGUCUGCUUAACACAUGCAAGUCGAACGGGCUCUUCGGAGCUAGUGGCGGACGGGUGAGUAACGCGUGAGAAUCUGCCUUCAGGAGGGGGAUAACGACUGGAAACGGUCGCUAAUACCCCAUAUGCCUCCGGGUGAAAAGUAAUUCGCCUGAAGAUGAGCUCGCGUCAGAUUAGCUAGUUGGUGGGGUAAGAGCCUACCAAGGCGACGAUCUGUAGCUGGUCUGAGAGGAUGAUCAGCCACACUGGGACUGAGACACGGCCCAGACUCCUACGGGAGGCAGCAGUGGGGAAUUUUCCGCAAUGGGCGCAAGCCUGACGGAGCAAGACCGCGUGGGGGAUGACGGCCUAAUGGUUGUAAACCCCUUUUCUCUGGGAAGAAGACUGACGGUACCAGAGGAAUCAGCCUCGGCUAACUCCGUGCCAGCAGCCGCGGUAAUACGGAGGAGGCAAGCGUUAUCCGGAAUUAUUGGGCGUAAAGCGUCCGUAGGUGGUUAUUCAAGUCUGCUGUCAAAGCGUGGGGCUUAACUCCAUAGAGGCAGUGGAAACUGAGUGACUAGAGUGCGGUAGGGGUC